CCUACGGGGGGCUGCAGUGGGGAAUAUUGCACAAUGGGCGAAACCCUGAUGCAGCGACGCCGCGUGAGUGAAGAAGGAAUUCGUUAUGUAAAGCUCUAUCAGCAGGGAAGAAAAUGACGGUACCUGAGUAAGAAGCCCCGGCUAACUACGUGCCAGCAGCCGCGGGAAUACGUCGGGGGCAAGCGUUAGCCGGAUUUACUGGGGGGAAGGGGAGCGUAGACGGCAGGGCAAGGAUGGAGUGAAAGGCGGGGGCUCAACCCCCGGACUGCUCUGGAAACUGUACGGCUGGAGUGCAGGAGAGGUAAGUGGAAUUCCUGGUGUAGCGGUGAAAUGCGUAGAUAUUAGGAGGAACACCAGUGGCGAAGGCGGCUUACUGGACUGUAACUGACGUUGAGGCUCGAAAGCGUGGGGAGCAAACAGGAUUAGAUACCCUAGUAGUC
rnacentral:rRNA from 1 species